rnacentral:rRNA from 1 species
UACAGAGGGUGCAAGCGUUGUUCGGAAUUAUUGGGCGUAAAGGGCGCGUAGGCGGUGCGGUAAGUCACCUGUGAAACCUCUGGGCUUAACUCAGAGCCUGCAGGCGAAACUGCCGUGCUUGAGUGUGGGAGAGGUGCGUGGAAUUCCCGGUGUAGCGGUGAAAUGCGUAGAUAUCAGGAGGAACACCGGCGGCGAAGGCGGCCCCCUGGCCCGCAACUGACGCUCAUGGUCGAAAGCGUGGGGAGCAAACAGG